rnacentral:tRNA from 1 species
GGGAUUGUAGCUCAGUGGUAGAGUGCUUGCCUGGCACGUGUGAGGCACUGGGUUCAAACCCCCGCACCA